CAAUAUGAUGAUUUCUCGAAAGAGAGGCUGUUUAUGAUCAACAAUGAUUACCAAAAUACACCUAUACAUUGUUCUAUUUCUGAUC
rnacentral:snoRNA from 1 species